rnacentral:rRNA from 1 species
UCCCAGCUGUAAACGAUGCGGGCUAGGUGCUGGAAGGGCUACGGGCCUUUCCAGUGCCGCAGGGAAGCCGUUAAGCCCGCCGCCUGGGGAGUACGGCCGCAAGGCUGAAACUUAAAGGAAUUGGCGGGGGAGCACCACAAGGGGUGAAGCCUGCGGUUUAAUUGGAGUCAACGCCGGGAACCUUACCCGGGGUGACAGCAGGAUGAAGGUCAAGCUAAAGACUUUACCAGACG